AUGUCCAGGCUAGGGAUGCUAGAGAGAACUGGUGCUCCGUUGGAGAAGCAUGUUCAGGCCCCAGUACGCGGCGCAAGAGCGGUAGUGUUCGAGAGCUCUGGCGCCCAAGGAUCUGCUUCGUCUCAGGCUAGUGCAGAUGACGCUGUUGUGGGGGAUUCUGGAGGCAAAGAUGAGGUCGCUGAGGCAACAUCUGGAUGGACUAGAAGGUACGUACUUGCAAAAAUUAGUCAUUCACAGUUACCAAAUAAAACACAGUUACCAAAUAAUGUAUGUGGGUUGAAUGUUGAUAAGAAUAUACAUGCAUUUCCCCUCCGUUGGUUAGUAUUCUGUGUGUUUGUUAAUUGCUGA
rnacentral:rRNA from 1 species